rnacentral:lncRNA from 1 species
UGACCUCCUGGUUCCGUUUUCCGGCUUUUAUUGGCGUUUUGCAACAUUCGGCUUUUGAUUCGUGUGUCUGGUUUAGUACCGAUGGGGAUUCGGCUUUUGAUUCGUGUCUGAUUCGUGUGUUGGUGUUGGAUUCGUGUGUGUGAUGAAGAUGGAGCAGUGGAGAUACACAAUCCUGGGGAACUAACCUCAUGAAAGAAUGAAACUGGUUUCAAGUAGCAUUGGUUAUUGUUCAGGUAAUUUGUGCUUCAAAAUUGUUUCUAUCUUAUUUUUUUUUUCAAUUAUUUAACGAUCUUAGAGUUGUUUAUUGCAGAUCUGAAGGGGGAAGGUAAUCACUAUAUGGAUUUACAGG